CCUACGUGAUGCAGCAGUGGGGAAUAUUGGACAAUGGGCGAAAGCCUGAUCCAGCCAUGCCGCGUGUGUGAAGAAGGCCUUCGGGUUGUAAAGCACUUUCAGUGGGGAAGAAAGCCUUGGGGCUAAUACCCUCGAGGAAGGACAUCACCCACAGAAGAAGCACCGGCUAACUCCGUGCCAGCAGCCGCGGUAAUACGGAGGGUGCGAGCGUUAAUCGGAAUUACUGGGCGUAAAGCGCGCGUAGGCGGUCUGAUAAGCCGGUUGUGAAAGCCCCGGGCUCAACCUGGGAACGGCAUCCGGAACUGUCAGGCUAGAGUGCCGGAGAGGAAGGUAGAAUUCCCGGUGUAGCGGUGAAAUGCGUAGAGAUCGGGAGGAAUACCAGUGGCGAAGGCGGCCUUCUGGACUGACACUGACGCUGAGGUGCGAAAGCGUGGGUAGCAAACAGGAUUAGAUACCCCGGUAGUC
rnacentral:rRNA from 1 species